AUUGAACGCUGGCGGCAUGCCUUACACAUGCAAGUCGAACGGCAGCACGGGGCAACCUGGUGGCGAGUGGCGAACGGGUGAGUAAUGCAUCGGAACGUACCUUUCAGUGGGGGAUAACGUAGCAAAAGUUACGCUAAUACCGCAUAUUCUGUGAGCAGGAAAGCAGGGGAUCGCAAGACCUUGCGCUGACUGAGCGGCCGAUGUCAGAUUAGCUAGUUGGUGAGGUAAAGGCUCACCAAGGCGACGAUCUGGAGCGGGUCUGAGAGGAUGAUCCGCCACACUGGAACUGAGACACGGUCCAGACUCCUACGGGAGGCAGCAGUGGGGAAUUUUGGACAAUGGGGGCAACCCUGAUCCAGCCAUGCCGCGUGAGUGAAGAAGGCCUUCGGGUUGUAAAGCUCUUUCGGCCGGGAAGAAAUCGCACGGGCAAAUACCCUGUGUGGAUGACGGUACCGGAAUAAGAAGCACCGGCUAACUACGUGCCAGCAGCCGCCGUAACAC
rnacentral:rRNA from 1 species